rnacentral:rRNA from 1 species
GUACAGGGAAUUAGGGUUCGAUUCUGGAGAAGGAGCCUGAGAAACGGCUACUACAUCUACGGAAGGCAGCAGGCGCGUAAAUUACCCAAUCCUGACUCAGGGAGGUGGUGACAAGAUAUAACAACGCGAUUAUAAUCCCCAUUGGAAGGGGGGGUUUCUAAAAAAAACCCUAUAUACCAAUUGGGGGGAAGAAA